rnacentral:rRNA from 1 species
GAGGGAUCAUUAAAGAGUUCUAUAACUCCCAAACCCAUGUGAACAUACCUAACGUUGCCUCGGCAGGUCGCACCUACCUUGUAGCACCCUACCCUGUAGGGCCUACCCGGGAGGUGCGGGUAAGCCUGCCGGCGGCCCACCAAACUCUGUUUGAUAUUGAAUUCUGAACCUAUAACUAAAUAAGUUAAAACUUUCAACAACGGAUCUCUUGGUUCUGGCAUCGAUGAAGAACGCAGCGAAAUGCGAUAAGUAAUGUGAAUUGCAGAAUUCAGUGAAUCAUCGAAUCUUUGAACGCAUAUUGCGCCCAUUAGUAUUCUAGUGGGCAGGACCGUUCGAGCGUCAUUUCAACCCUUAAGCCUUCGUUGCUUAGUGUUGGGAGCCUACGGCAACGUAGCUCCUCAAAGUUAGUGGCGGAGUUGGUUCACACUCUAGACGUAGUAAUUUUUUAUCUCGCCUAUUAGUUGGACUAAUCCCCUGCCGUAAAACCCCCAAUUUAUCAAGGUUGACCUCGAAUCGGUUCAGACAAACUCGCUAAAUUGAAGCAUCUUAGUCAGCGAAGGAAAAGAAACCAACAGGGAUUGCCCUAGUAACGGCGAGUGAAGCGGCAACAGCUCAAA